rfam:Schistosoma haematobium scaffold451_14, whole genome shotgun sequence.
GCACUGAUGAGAAGUCCCAUAAUAGGACGAAACAGCUGUCAAGUGC